rnacentral:rRNA from 1 species
UGGCGACCGGCGCACGGGUGAGUAACACGUAUCCAACCUGCCGAUGACUCGGGGAUAGCCUUUCGAAAGAAAGAUUAAUACCCGAUGGCAUAGUUCUUCCGCAUGGUGGAACUAUUAAAGAAUUUCGGUCAUCGAUGGGGAUGCGUUCCAUUAGGUUGUUGGCGGGGUAACGGCCCACCAAGCCUUCGAUGGAUAGGGGUUCUGAGAGGAAGGUCCUCCACAUUGGAACUGAGACACGGUCCAAACUCCUACGGGAGGCAGCAUG